GGGCGGGGCGGAGCCGGGCCGAGCCUCCCCCUCAGCGGCGCGCGGAGCCGCUGCGGCUGCUCCGCCGCUUUCCCGCCGCCUGCGCGCGCGGCCGGGCCGGGCGCUGCCUCAGGGCGCCGCGGCGGCGGCUCGGACUAACCGCCCCCCCCCUCCCCCCGCGGGUUUGAACGGCGCCGCUAACGGCAGCCGCGAGCGCGGCGGUUGAACGGCUGCUCGCGGGGGCGGGGGAGGAGGCGGCCGGGAGCGGCGGCAGGGAACUUCAUGUUUAACUGGCAACUCCAUGCAGGAUAAGAACACACCCUGCUGCUGGUAUGGCUUGCUGAGGGUCCCAGGCUAUGGUUCUCCAGUUAAUUGUCUGUGGUUUCCUGUUGACUGUGGUUUCCUGUUGGCUGCAUGAUUAAAUAGCUUCAGAAAAAGAUCAUCAGAAGUUUCUUCAUGGAAAAACAAGAUGAUCAAUAUUACAAUCUGAAAAAACUUGUGAGAUUAAAGUAUUCUCAAGCAGCAUACUCAUUGGCAAUAUUUACUUAUCUAAAGAGGACUUAAUUGGACUCUUACACUAGUUGCAAUAUAAUAAGCAAAUGUUUACACCCAUGUUGAGUAUUUUACAUUCCGAGUGCCCACUCUGCACUGUAGUCCCAUUCACGGGUAUCUAAAGGAUGCUGCUCCUAAUAGGAGUUAGUUUUCUCCUCCUUAGUUGAAUCCAGAGUCUAUCGGGCACAGUAGUUUUCCUGGUGUUAUCUAGAAUGUCUGGAUGAUAUCUUUCUGAUAUUUUGUGUGUUUCUCAUCAUGACUUACUGCAGAAACCACUGUAUUGGCAUAUGUGGGUAGAUACCUAGGUGGCCAAAAAUAGCAACCAGGAGGGACAAGGGACUGCUUAAACAUUUUUUCUGCUUAUAAAAACCUUACUGGAAUGAUGAUCUCCAGAAUAUACUAGCACAGUGUGUCAGCUCCACGCUCAGGUGGUCGCUGUGGGCAUCUGAGCAGGCUCCUCAGCGUGGCCUACAGGAGCGUAAUGCUGCCCACAUUAUAUAGACUCUCACGCUUAAAUUCUCCUGUGUCACUUUGAACAGAGGAAGAAGGGAUUGAAAACACUUCUACAUGCUCUACACUCUGGGACACUUAUAUCACAGAGCCCCAAAUCCUUGAGGUAAUGUUGGGACUACUGCUUUGCUUCCCAUUCCCUCUUCCAGGACCCUCUGUGGUGUUUGUUUGAAAGCUUGCUUAUUGCUUCCUGAUUACCCUCAAGUGAUCAUUCUUCUCCUGAAUACAACAUUUCAUUUCCCUGUUUUUCGAAGGAUAAUGUAAGAUGAGAUAUCCUCAAAAUCAGAUGUAUCGCUUAGUACUGGCAGCUCUUGCUAUUGUUUUAGGAGCUGAUUGCGCAUAGUAUUGCAUAAGGUCAUGCUCUUCUUUAGCUUCUGUUCAGUUUGCGGCUUCACAGCCAAACUUACACAAAGCUUGGCACGUACUGUAGUCACUCUGUAAAUAAUGGGUUGAGUCCGUCCUGCUUGGUUAAGGAGGCUGCGCUUACAUUCAUGUGCAGCUGGAAGGAUUUGAGAAAUGUAUAUAGGCAGCUGUGUGUGAAAACAAGAAGUGAAGCUGCCUCCUCCAGGAGGAGGGUACUUGAAAUGUUACAGCAAACCUCUUGCAAAAGCUGUUUGUGCAUUUUUCAGAGGAUCAUGUUGUGGUUCUAAGUGCUGUGUUAGUUGCAAUAAAUUUCCAUACAUGCUU